rnacentral:rRNA from 1 species
UACGGGGGGGGCAAGCGUUGUUCGGAAUUACUGGGCGUAAAGGGCUCGUAGGCGGCCAACUAAGUCAGACGUGAAAUCCCCAGGCUCAACCUGGGAACUGCGUCUGAUACUGGAUGGCUUGAAUUCGGGAGAGGGAUGCAGAAUUCCAGGUGUAGCGGUGAAAUGCGUAGAUAUGUGGAGGAAUACCGAUGGCGAAGGUAGCCCCCUGGGAUAACACUGACGCUCAUGCACGAAAGCGUGGGGAGCAAACAGG